rnacentral:lncRNA from 1 species
UGCAUGUGUUUAUCUUAAGUGCAUGUGUUUAUCUUAAGUGCAUGUGUGUUUGUGUGUAAGUGUUCGUGUCGUGUGGGGGGAGAGUGGGGGAGGUUAAUUAGAAGUGGAAAUUGUGAGUGGUUUGGAUAGUUUAGGCUUCUUUAUUUUUUAUUUUUUUUUUAAUUUUUUUUAAUUAUAUUAUUAUUAUUAUUAUUAAUAAUAAAAUAAAAAUAAUUAAAAACUAAUAAAAUAUAACAUAAGCUAAUAACUAGUCUUGGGAAUAUGAUUUAGAAAAAUUAAUAUCACACCAUUCUUUAUUAAAAAUUGAAAGAAGAAACAAAUAUAACUUAAAUUUUUUUUUUUCUAAAAAAAGAAAUAAAUAAAUAAUAAAAUAAAAAUUUAUUUAAAAUGUGACUCUAUUUUUGUAAUUUUUAAAUUUUUUAACAAACUUCAAAAAGUAAGAUAAAUUUAAAAAAAAAAUUAAUUGAACAUUGAAAUGAUAUAAAAAUAUUAGGUUUGGAUCAAAAUUAGGUGUUUACACCCCUGGGUGGUAGAAUUGAUUUCCUUUUGAAUUUGGAUAUAUUUGAUCCCAUUUGACUGACCGAAUCGCUCAUUUAUGUCUAAUUAAAUGUCCUUAGCCGUGUCAAAAUACAUGACACUUUGUGUAUAAAUCAGUUGAGAGAGAAUUGGUAAUCCAAGCAAUGAUCAUAUCACUGCACCUCUCAUAAAAAAGAAAGUAACGUGAAUUUGGUACUGAUUUUGGAACAGUAUCAGUGACUAUCCCUAAUUUAUUUUUUGCUGAAAGAACAGUAAGCAUAUUCGUAAGUCAGACCACAAAAUCAGUACCAUCAAAAGGAAGGAAAACCAGGCGAGAACCUGAACUAUUCAAAGAGUGUAGGUAGAGGGGGUGAGUUGGAGACAAUGUAAACUCAUCAAAACCCUCAACAGAACUUAUAGUAUCAGUAGACAUUGAGGAAUCCCAAUCGAUAAUAGAAAUAACAUAGAAUGGAUACACUCAUAACUUACAAAACGAAAAUAAGGCUUCCUCCAACUAUUUGAGUAUCUCACAGUACGCAUACACAAUUUACACGGAUUACAAUCAACACAGAUCAGUAAAGAAAAGUCAAAAUUGAAUCAAAAUAGGGAUUACCACCCUUCUUUGUAACCUGAAGCAGUAAUGUCUUCAAACAAAUUUAUUUUCGUGAAGAAAUGAAAGAAAAUCUAUCAAAAACUCAAUUAACCCCAAAAUACGGACCGGCUAAAACCCUUCAAGGAUAACAUCGGAAGAUAGAGGGAGAUCCGAAGAAGAGAGGAUCGUGUAUCUCUACUCUGAUACCAUGUGGUAUCUCCCUUCUUAGAUCCCCGUCAAAAUAAUGUGUACGAACCCUAGAAGUUCAAAGGGUGAAGAAAUAGAGAACUUUCAUUGAAACGCAAUGAAAAUAUCUACUAUCUCCUUUCUAGAAGGGUCUACAUACAUUUAUAUACAGAAAUAAUAAAAAAUGUGAUCACUAGGAAAUAAAAUGUAAUUAAUAUUAUAUAUGUUGUUGGACCCGGAUCAGGCUUCAGCUUGGGCUUGUCACUUGGGCCUAUGUCAACAAAGAAAAAAGUGUUUUUAAAUUUUA